GCCUUAGUAGCGGCGAGUGAAGCGGCAAAAGCUCAAAUUUGAAAUCUGGCGCCUUCGGUGUCCGAGUUGUAAUUUGAAGAUUGUAACCUUGGGGUUGGCUCUUGUCUAUGUUUCUUGGAACAGGACGUCACAGAGGGUGAGAAUCCCGUGCGAUGAGAUGCCCAAUUCUAUGUAAGGUGCUUUCGAAGAGUCGAGUUGUUUGGGAAUGCAGCUCUAAGUGGGUGGUAAAUUCCAUCUAAAGCUAAAUAUUGGCGAGAGACCGAUAGCGAACAAGUACAGUGAUGGAAAGAUGAAAAGAACUUUGAAAAGAGAGUGAAAAAGUACGUGAAAUUGUUGAAAGGGAAGGGUUUGAGAUCAGACUCGAUAUUUUGUGAGCCUUGCCUUCGUGGCGGGGUGACCCGCAGCUUAUCGGGCCAGCAUCGGUUUGGGCGGUAGGAUAAUGGCGUAGGAAUGUGACUUUACUUCGGUGAAGUGUUAUAGCCUGCGUUGAUGCUGCCUGCCUAGACCGAGGACUGCGAUUUUAUCAAGGAUGCUG
rnacentral:rRNA from 1 species